UUCCGGUUGAUCCUGCCGGAGGUCACUGCUAUCGGGGUUCGAUUAAGCCAUGCGAGUCGAGAGGGUUCGGCCCUCGGCGUACUGCUCAGUAACACGUGGAUAACCUGCCCUAGGGAAGGGGAUAAUCCCGGGAAACUGGGGAUAAUACCCUAUAGGUUACAGAUGCUGGAAUGCUCUGUAAUCAAAAGUUCCGGCGCCCUAGGAUGGAUCUGCGGCCGAUUAGGUUGUUGUUGGGGUAAUGGCCCAACAAGCCAGUAAUCGGUACGGGUUGUGGGAGCAAGAGCCCGGAGUUGGAUUCUGAGACACGAAUCCAGGCCCUACGGGGCGCAGCAGGCGCGAAAACUUUACAAUGCGGGCAACCGUGAUAAGGGAACCUCGAGUGCCUGUAAAUGCAGGCUGUUCAGAUGCCUAAAACACAUCUGGAGAAAGGGCCGGGCAAGACCGGUGCCAGCCGCCGCGGUAAUACCGGCGGCUCGAGUGGUGGCCACUUUUAUUGGGCUUAAAGCGUUCGUAGCUGGGUUGUUAAGUCUCUUGGGAAAUCUGGCGGCUUAACCGUCAGGCGUCUAAGGGAUACUGGCAAUCUUGGAACCGGGAGAGGUGAGGGGUACUUCGGGGGUAGGAGUGAAAUCCUGUAAUCCUCGAGGGACCACCUGUGGCGAAGGCGCCUCACUAGAACGGCUUCGACAGUGAGGGACGAAAGCUGGGGGAGCAAACCGGAUUAGAUACCCGGGUAGUCCCAGCCGUAAACUAUGCGCGCUAGGUGUAUCGGUGACCACGAGUUACCGAGGUGCCGAAGGGAAACCGUGAAACGUGCCGCCUGGGAGGUACGGUCGCAAGGCUGAAACUUAAAGGAAUUGGCGGGGGAGCACCACAACAGGUGGAGCCUGCGGUUUAAUUGGAGUCAACGCCGGAA
rnacentral:rRNA from 1 species